rnacentral:rRNA from 1 species
CGGGUGAGUAUGAUCGGAACGUGCCCCGUCCUGGGGGAUAUCUAGUCGAAAGAUGAGCUAAUACCGCAUACGACCUGAGGGUGAAAGUGGGGGACCUUAUGGCCUCACGCGAUGGGAGCGGCCGAUGUCAGAUUAGCUAGUUGGUGGGGUAAAGGCCUACCAAAGCGACGAUCUGUAGCGGGUCUGAGAGGAUGAUCCGCCACACUGGGACUGAGACACGGC